AUCCGGCUCGAAGGACCA
rnacentral:ncRNA from 5 species